rnacentral:rRNA from 1 species
UACGUAGGGUGCGAGCGUUGUUCGGAUUUACUGGGCGUAAAGGGCGCGUAGGCGGCCACCGCAAGUCGGUUGUGAAAUCUCCGGGCUUAACCCGGAAAGGUCAAUCGAUACUGCGGGGCUAGAGUGCAGAAGGGGCAACUGGAAUUCUCGGUGUAGCGGUGAAAUGCGUAGAUAUCGAGAGGAACACCUGCGGCGAAGGCGGGUUGCUGGGCUGACACUGACGCUGAAGCGCGAAAGCUAGGGGAGCGAACGGG